AGAGUUUGAUCCUGGCUCAGGAUGAACGCUAGCGGCAGGCUUAACACAUGCAAGUCGAGGGGUAAUCUUGGUGCUUGCACCAAGAACGACCGGCGCACGGGUGAGUAGCGCGUAUGCAACCUGCCCUUAACUGGGGGAUAGCUUCCGGAAACGGAAAUUAAUACCCCAUAACAUUGCGGUGUCGCAUGGCACUGCAAUUAAAGCUUCGGCGGUUAAGGAUGGGCAUGCGUGACAUUAGCUGGUUGGUGAGGUAACGGCUCACCAAGGCUACGAUGUCUAGGGGGCCUGAGAGGGUGGUCCCCCACACUGGUACUGAGACACGGACCAGACUCCUACGGGAGGCAGCAGUGAGGAAUAUUGGGCAAUGGGCGAAAGCCUGACCCAGCCAUGCCGCGUGCAGGAAGACAGCCCUACGGGUUGUAAACUGCUUUUGUACGGGAAGAAACCUCCGGACGUGUCCGGAGCUGACGGUACCGUACG
rnacentral:rRNA from 1 species